rnacentral:rRNA from 1 species
AGUGAACGCUGGCGGCAGGCCUAACACAUGCAAGUCGAACGGCAGCACAGUAAGAUCUUGCUCUUACGGGUGGCGAGUGGCGGACGGGUGAGGAAUACAUCGGAAUCUACUUUUUCGUGGGGGAUAACGUAGGGAAACUUACGCUAAUACCGCAUACGACCUACGGGUGAAAGCAGGGGAUCUUCGGACCUUGCGCGAUUGAAUGAGCCGAUGUCGGAUUAGCUAGUUGGCGGGGUAAAGGCCCACCAAGGCGACGAUCCGUAGCUGGUCUGAGAGGAUGAUCGGCCACACUGGAACUGGGACACGGUCCCGACUCCUACGGGAGGCAGCAGUGGGGAAUAUUGGACAAUGGGCGCAAGCCUGAUCCAGCCAUACCGCGUGGGUGAAGAAGGCCUUCGGGUUGUAAAGCCCUUUUGUUGGGAAAGAAAAGCAGCAGGUUAAUACCCCGCUGUUCUGACGGUACCCAAAGAAUAAGCACCGGCUAACUUCGUG